CAGUAGCCGCGGUAAUACGAAGGGGGCUAGCGUUGCUCGGAAUGACUGGGCGUAAAGGGCGCGUAGGCGGAUUGUUUAGUUAGGCGUGAAAUUCCUGGGCUUAACCUGGGGACUGCGCUUAAUACAGGCAGUCUAGAGUGAGGAAGAGGGUUGUGGAAUUCCCAGUGUAGAGGUGAAAUUCGUAGAUAUUGGGAAGAACACCGGUGGCGAAGGCGGCAACCUGGUCCUUGACUGACGCUGAGGCGCGAAAGCGUGGGGAGCAAACAGGAUUAGAUACCCGAGUAGUCCCUGUCUCUUAUAC
rnacentral:rRNA from 1 species